rnacentral:rRNA from 1 species
GACGAACCGUGCAAACGUUAUUCGGAAUUACUGGGCGUAAAGGGCUCGUAGGCGGCCAACUAAGUCAUACGUGAAAUCCCUCAGCUUAACUGGGGAACUGCGUGUGAUACUGGAUGGCUUGGAUUUGGGAGAGGGAAGCGGAAUUCCGGGUGUAGCGGUGAAAUGCGUAGAUAUCCGGAGGAACACCGGUGGCGAAGGCGGGU